GAAAAAUAAAUAUGGAUGGACAUUAAAACUUUGCUAAAACAACAAAGCUAGUGAUGGUGGCCUAAGACACUUGCAAAGUAAUGUAUAUUGACCAAGAGUUGGAAUGAUCAAGAAAAAUGCAUGUUGUCUAUCCAUAUUUUCUUUAAAUGCACAUUUAUUCACAAUUCAGUAGGACAGUAAAUUAUCUAAGGGUAAAAUCAUUAUUGAAGGUGAUUUAAUUGUCACUGCAUUCAUUGUUACAUGAUUUUAAACAGUGGGAAUCAUUGUGUAAGUUUCUUAAUAAUAUCAAAUAGUUCUUUUUUGUCUUGUUGUUUCUAGACCUGAAGAUAAGAUUUCCAGUUUAAAAGUGAAGAAAAUGAAUCAUUAUUAACAGCAAUUAGGAGUAUUUCUCAGCUGAAAAGCCAGUUUAUGCACAAUCACAAAUGCAGCACAUCAAUCAAUUUCUUCCAACCAGCGAAUCAAGAAAUCUUGGAGUGGAGAAUCAUUCUGAAAGUAGACCAAAUCCAGGACAACAUCACAGCAGUGGUCGGAAAAAUGCAGCAAGCCAAGCUGACUUUCAAAAGAUGAUUCGUUAUCUGUUUCUUCAGAGGGGAGGCAGUUUGGGAGAUGGGAAUUAGGAGGAUGCUACAGUUACACAGGGCGAAUUUCAGCAGCUCAGUUUCAAACUUGCAACUAACAAUGAAUUAUACUGGUCAGGGUGGAAGACCAUCUGACGUACCAGUUUUGCCAGGUUGAAGAACCAGCUUAAACCAGCUAAGACAGCCAACCAACUUAGCCAAGGUGGUAUAUGCUGGUGGGUCAGCUGGUCUUCCCGCCUGACCAGCUACAAAGUGGCCAAAACCUCUGUAAAACAAUCCUGCUACACCAGCCUGACCAGCUGAAACCAUACUGGGAGUAUUCAUAUUCAUAUCGAUUUGCAUUUACACAUAAAAUAGGUAACAUACAGUACUGUGCAAAAGUCUUAGGCCACCAUCUCCAGCUUUGUUGUUUUAGCAAAAAUUUAAUGUCCAUCCAUAUUUAUUUUUCACUCUUUUUAUUAAGAUACAAACAGAAAAUACAGGAAAUAUGUACACAAAAUUAAAAACAAAACAAUUUUCAGAACUAAAUGUCGUCUUCAGACAUCAGUCAGUAUUUAGUGUGAAUUCUUUUGGCACAAAACACAUCUUGAGCUUUUUUGAGGAGACUGAAGUCAUUCGAUUAGAAUUAGAAAGGAUUUAAUUGUAUUUAUGUGUAAGAGAUCCUGCAGUUGCCUGCUAUUGCUCAAGUUGAAAGGGAGUUUACCCUAAAUAAUUGAAACUUCAGCUUAAACUUUUAUACUGUUUUUAAUACUACAUACACAUUUCCUGUAUUUUCUGGUUGUAUUCUAAUAAAGAGACUGAGAAAUAAAUAUAUGAUCACUACACAACUGCAAAAACAACUAAUCUAAUGGUAGCAUGCAGACUUUUGCACAGUACUGUAUGUCCACAUUUAGCCACCUUUACUUUGAGUGAACUGUAACAGCAACUAUAAUGCCAUAAACAUUAAAUACUAAGGUAAAAGAGAGUUGUGGAUGCUUUCUAGUUUUAGCAAAGAA